GCUUGGAAUGAGCAAUCAAUGCUACUGCUUAAAAAGAGGAUGACUGGGAGCCCGCCUCCAGACUUGGGGAGGAUCUGCAGGGCUGCGGUGGCUCGAAUUCAGACCUGGAGAAUUGGGAUUCAGCCUGAAGAUAAGCAGAGGUUUAUAAAGUGAUAACUUCAUGGAGUCGAUGGGUACAGGUUGGAUCACUGGAUGUAGAAGAUCUGAUCCUGAAUUGACUUCUCCGUGGCUACACAUGAAGUAAGCAGCUGAGGUUUGGGCAGUAUUGGGAAGGAGAGAAAAUUAAAUGAUUUUGUUAACCAAAAAUGAAGUGGCAGUGCUUGACAAGAUGACAAGAUGAUCUCAAAGGUAAGUUUUCAUUUUAUAUAAUGAUUUCUCCAUAUUUCGUAAAGUUACAAUGAUCCAAAAAGUUUUGAUUAUUUGAACAUUCUUACGUUUACUUGUCUUCAUAUUAAUAUAACAUUUCUCCCAAUCCUAGUAUAUAUAAGCAACUUUACUUAUUCUUCACAUCAUAAGCCACCUAAGCAAUAUCAGAUUCCAUUAUUUAAAGACAAUGAAAUUUAAAAAGAUAACGCGGGAAUAAGAGAAAACAUUGUUUAAGUGUUAAAUGAAUAGCACUUAAAGUGCUAUUCGUUUUAUAGAAAUGAAAUAGGACAAUGAGUUCUUGCCCCACUUUGGCCACUCGAUCAUUGCAUGUUUUCAAUUAGCAUUCAUUUUCCUGAGCUUCAUUUUAUAAUCUGGGAAUGAGGAGGUUGCACUAGCCUUUCAGGACGCUUUUCCGCUAGAAAAAUAAAGCUUCUGUGAAUCCUAGCUCAGAUGCCGACUGAACAAGGCAGGUGGUGGCACCUGGAGUAAGGAAGCAAAUGGAAGAAUCAGAGGCAGGAGAACCCUGAAGCCGAGGGGUUUCCGACCAGACCCUCUCUUAAGGAGUCUUCUAGCUUUCUCCUCUCUUGCCUUUGAUUCCUGGAAUAAGGAAGUGGUCACAUGUGACCACAAGACAUUUGUUGGUUGUGUGGCUGAAAAACCUCUGUAUUCCUCAGGUUUCUCAAGGACAAAAUGAGAAUAAUAAAAGUCUCAGAGCUGUGGUGAGGAGAAAAUGAGUGAAAUACUCUGCAAGGAGCAAUCUCCCGAUUGCUAAUGAUAUUAAUAAUUAUUUACAUUAUAAAACAUAUCAAAGAUUCACAUUUUAAUAGGAUGCAAAGAACAUGAAUCUAUUCUAAAUUAUCCUAGUAUGGGUAGCUAGGGAAAUUUAAUGAGUAGGAAGUGACCCGUCCUGAGACGGAGAUGGUGGCAGCUGGAUGAAAAUAUUGGAGAGGGGAGAAACAAGGCAGAAAGACCAGGUAAGGAGACAGUGCCAUCAGCCACAGGAGAGAAGGAAAGAGGUGGUGGUUACGUGAGAGAGGAAGGAGGGAUGAAAGGGGAGGGGGGGAGAG